CCUGCUCCUGGAGUUGUUACACGUGUGGCUGCUGUGUCACACGUGUGUCAGUAGGUGGCAGGGAAAAGAGAGGCUAUGUCUACACUCAGUAUUCUGAUCUAUGAACAUCUGAAUGAUUAGUAACCUGACAUU